rnacentral:rRNA from 1 species
GUGCCAGCCGCCGCGGUAAUACGUAGGGGGCAAGCGUUGUCCGGAAUUAUUGGGCGUAAAGCGCGCGCAGGCGGUGGUUUAAGUCUGAUGUGAAAGCCCACGGCUCAACCGUGGAGGGUCAUUGGAAACUGGAUCACUUGAGUGCAGGAGAGGAAAGUGGAAUUCCACGUGUAGCGGUGAAAUGCGUAGAGAUGUGGAGGAACACCAGUGGCGAAGGCGACUUUCUGGCCUGUAACUGACGCUGAGGCGCGAAAGCGUGGGGAGCAAACAGGAUUAGAUACCCUGGUAGUCCACGCCGUAAACGAUGAGUGCUAGGUGUUAGGGGUUUCGACGCCCGUAGUGCCGCAGUUAACGCAAUAAGCACUCCGCCUGGGGAGUACGGUCGCAAGACUGAAACUCAAAGGAAUUGACGG